rnacentral:rRNA from 1 species
UACGUAGGAGGCAAGCGUUGUCCGGAGUUACUGGGCGUAAAGCGCACGCAGGCGGUUCAGUCAGUCUGUAGGGACAGGGCACAGCUCAACUGUGUCAGGCUUACGGAAACUGCUGAACUUGAGGGCUUCAGAGGGAUGGGGAAUUCCGGGUGGAGUGGUGAAAUGCGUAGAGAUCCGGAAGAACACCAAUGGCGAAGGCAGCUUGCUGGCAUGUAUCUGACGCUAAGGCACGAAAGCGUGGGGAGCGAACAGG